rnacentral:rRNA from 1 species
AGCAGCCGCGGUAGUUCCAGCUCCAAUAGCGUAUAUUAAAGUUGUUGCAGUUAAAAAGCUCGUAGUUGAACUUCGGGGUUUACCCAUUGGUCAGGCUUAAUUGUCUGUACUGGUGAGAUAAAUCUCUACCUUCUGAGGAACUUUCAUGUCAUUAAUUUGGUGUGAUUGGAAAUCAGGACUGUUACUUUGAAAAAAUUAGAGUGCUUAAAGCAGGCUAACGUCUGAAUACAUUAGCAUGGAAUAAUGAAAUAGGACGGACUGAUUCUAUUUCGUUGGUUUCUAGGAUCACCGUAAUGAUUAAUAGGGAUAGUUGGGGGCAUUAGUAUUCAAUUGUCAGAGGUGAAAUUCUUGGAUUUAUUGAAGACUAACUACUGCGAAAGCAUUUGCCAAGGAUGUUUUCAUUAAUCAAGAACGAAAGUUAGGGGAUCGAAGACGAUCAGAUACCGUCGUAGUCUUAACCAUAAACUAU